rnacentral:rRNA from 1 species
GAACGGGUGAGUAACACGUGAGUAACCUGCCCUUGACUUUGGGAUAACUUCAGGAAACUGGGGCUAAUACCGGAUAGGAGCUCCUGCUGCAUGGUGGGGGUUGGAAAGUUUCGGCGGUUGGGGAUGGACUCGCGGCUUAUCAGCUUGUUGGUGGGGUAGUGGCUUACCAAGGCUUUGACGGGUAGCCGGCCUGAGAGGGUGACCGGCCACAUUGGGACUGAGAUACGGCCCAGACUCCUACGGGAGGCAGCAGUGGGGAAUAUUGCACAAUGGGCGGAAGCCUGAUGCAGCAACGCCGCGUGCGGGAUGACGGCCUUCGGGUUGUAAACCGCUUUCGCCUGUGACGAAGCGUGAGUGACGGUAAUGGGUAAAGAAGCACCGGCUAACUACGUGCCAGCAGCCGCGGUGAUACGUAGGGUGCGAGCGUUGUCCGGAUUUAUUGGGCGUAAAGGGCUCGUAGGUGGUUGAUCGCGUCGGAAGUGUAAUCUUGGGGCUUAACCCUGAGCGUGCUUUCGAUACGGGUUGACUUGAGGAAGGUAGGGGAGAAUGGAAUUCCUGGUGGAGCGGUGGAAUGCGCAGAUAUCAGGAGGAACACCAGUGGCGAAGGCGGUUCUCUGGGCCUUUCCUGA